AGUGAACGCUGGCGGUAGGCCUAACACAUGCAAGUCGAACGGCAGCACAGUAAGAGCUUGCUCUUACGGGUGGCGAGUGGCGGACGGGUGAGGAAUACAUCGGAAUCUACUUUUUCGUGGGGGAUAACGUAGGGAAACUUACGCUAAUACCGCAUACGACCUACGGGUGAAAGCAGGGGAUCUUCGGACCUUGCGCGAUUGAAUGAGCCGAUGUCGGAUUAGCUAGUUGGCGGGGUAAAGGCCCACCAAGGCGACGAUCCGUAGCUGGUCUGAGAGGAUGAUCAGCCGCACUGGAACUGAGACACGGUCCAGACUCCUACGGGAGGCAGCAGUGGGGUAUAUUGGACAAUGGGCGCAAGCCUGAUCCAGCCAUACCGCGUGGGUGAAGAAGGCCUUCGGGUUGUAAAGCCCUUUUGUUGGGAAAGAAAAGCAGCAGGUUAAUACCCCGCUGUUCUGACGGUACCCAAAGAAUAAGCACCGGCUAACUUCGUG
rnacentral:rRNA from 1 species